rnacentral:lncRNA from 10 species
AAUUGGCGUAAGGCAAAGAGGCGCGGCUGGAAGAACCAGACUGAGAAAGUGCCACAGGGCGGGGGCCGCAUCCGCCCCUCGGCUUCUGGUUACUGACCCGACGGCUUUGUGAGUGAAAGUGAAGAGACACUUCGAGGCAGGAGGUCCUGGAACCAAUCCCCUCUGAUACUGAGAGACAACUAUUACACAAGAGAAAUAUUCUACCAUUCACAAAAUCUCGUUUAAGUGUUGUGAAAUACAAACACCAGGGAAUCAAGAACUUUAGAAAAUUGUGGCUGUGUUCCCAUAUGUGGUACAAAGAACCAGUGAGUCCCAUUUGUUGUGGUUCCUGCAUUCGAUGACUCCAGAUGUGCCACCACCGAGCUAGUCUUAUGACAACCUAGAAGGCAAAUUGGGAUGGCCCUAUAUUUGUCACUGAGAGCAGAAGGGUUGAGAACUUAGAUCCUGACAGGAGGCCCACCUUUAUUGGAGAAAUGGCUCUGCAACUUAGGACUAUUACAACUUGUAAAAAUUAGUGAGUUAUACGUGGGAAGCAUUUUGGCCUCACAAUUGAGAAGCAGAGAAGUGGUUCAAGGCUCAUGUAAGACUGCUGGGAUUUGAAAUUUAUCCUAUUAUUUGAAGACUGAAAUCAAAAUAUGAAGGUGGAGCAUCAUGUGUGCCUUCUGUCUUGUUCUCUACUAGGGUGUAAACCAUUUAACUAAAAAUAGUCUCCAAUUUGACACCUUCCCAACAUUUCACUAGUAUACUCCAAAUCUCCAUGCAGGGUUACAGACCUAUUUCAGCUGGCUCCAUUUACUCUGAGGCAG